GCGGCCAAGGCCAGGGAGGACGAGGUUGCAUCCAUUAGCGAGAAGCGGCCGAUCCACCUGCGUGCCGUCACUGCAGGGAUAGCGAAGGUCAGCGAGAAAGGUCAUCGUGGGGGCACACCGCCGUCUCCCUCUCCCCUGGUGGCACCUCCCUAUAUGUUGAGAUGUUGAGGUUGGUCCUGGAAUGGUUGGCUUUGGGACUUUUGGUGGCAGUAUAUUCUUAUGCCGACGACAAGCAUUUGCAGGACGAAUAUGUGGUUAUCUGUGGCAGUGUGCUCCUAUCCUCCCCGCCUCCAUACUUCAUUUUUGGAAAACUAAUGAUUUUA